CACGUAGGGUGCGAGCGUUGCCCGGAAUUAUUGGGCGUAAAGAGCUCGUAGGCGGUGUGUCGCGUCGGCCGUGAAAACCUGCAGCUUAACUGUGGGCUUGCGGUCGAUACGGGCAUCACUGGAGUUCGGCAGGGGAGACUGGAAUUCCUGGUGUAGCGGUGAAAUGCGCAGAUAUCGGGAGGAACACCAGCGGCGAAGGCGGCACUCUGGGCUGGAACUGACGCUGAGGAGCGAAAGCGUGGGUAGCAAACAGG
rnacentral:rRNA from 1 species